rnacentral:lncRNA from 1 species
AACGGAGAGGCUUCUGGACAUCUGUGCUGCCAUGGGGCUCCUGGAGAAGACAGAGCAAGGUGACAGGACCCAGCGGGUUUUGCUCUGAGAAUCUUUGCAGGUGGAAGUCACUGAGGGAAGGUGACCUGGAACAGAUAAUGUGGAUGGAUGGGUAGACAGAUACAUAGAUAGAUGAUAAAUGCAUAGAUACAUUGAUAUAGAUAGAUGAUAGAUACGUAGAUGAUGGGUAGAGUUGAUAGAUAUAUAAAUGGAUGGAUGGAUAGAUGGAUGGAUGGAUGGUAGGUGGAUAGAUGGAUGGGAGGAAGGAUGGAUGGAUGGAUGGAUGGGUGGAUGGACGGAUGGAUCGAUCAAUGGAUGGGUAGAUGCAGGUCCUCAUUUACCUGUUAGUCUAGUUAUGUGUGGGUUCAUCUUAUCUGCAACGCUCAGUUUCUCUGUAGCUAUAGGGCUUGCAAUGUAAGCAAAUCCUCGGUGAGUGUGCUGAAUUAGCUCUUUGGUUAAAGAGAUAUUCAUUUUUUAUUUGUAUUAUUUUAAAUUGUUUAUUAUUAUUUUUUUUAGAGACAAGAAGAAAAAUUCACCUGUCGCCCAGGCUGGAGCGCAGGGGCAUGAUCGUAGCUCACUGCAGCCUUGAACUCCUGGGCUCAGGGCUCUUCCCACCUCAGCCUUCUGAGUAGCUAGGACUAUAGGCACAUGCAGAGUAGCUGAAAACAGGUGCCCUGAGUCAUACUCCAUAGAGUCUUUUGUAGAAAUGGGGUCUUGCUAUGUUGCCCAGGCUGCUCUCUAACUCCUGGCCACCACUUUGGGGUCCUCUGUC